rnacentral:rRNA from 1 species
UACGUAGGGUGCAAGCGUUAAUCGGAAUUACUGGGCGUAAAGCGUGCGCAGGCGGUUGUGUAAGACAGAUGUGAAAUCCCCGGGCUCAACCUGGGAACUGCAUUUGUGACUGCACAGCUGGAGUGCGGCAGAGGGGGAUGGAAUUCCGCGUGUAGCAGUGAAAUGCGUAGAUAUGUGGAGGAACACCGAUGGCGAAGGCAGCCCCCUGGGCUAACACUGACGCUCAUGCACGAAAGCGUGGGGAGCAAACAGG